rnacentral:rRNA from 1 species
GAUGAACGCUGGCGGCGUGCCUAAUACAUGCAAGUCGAACGCACAGCGAAAGGUGCUUGCACCUUUCAAGUGAGUGGCGAACGGGUGAGUAACACGUGGACAACCUGCCUCAAGGCUGGGGAUAACAUUUGGAAACAGAUGCUAAUACCGAAUAAAACUUAGUGUCGCAUGACACAAAGUUAAAAGGCGCUUCGGCGUCACCUAGAGAUGGAUCCGCGGUGCAUUAGUUAGUUGGUGGGGUAAAGGCCUACCAAGACAAUGAUGCAUAGCCGAGUUGAGAGACUGAUCGGCCACAUUGGGACUGAGACACGGCCCAAACUCCUACGGGAGGCUGCAGUAGGGAAUCUUCCACAAUGGGCGAAAGCCUGAUGGAGCAACGCCGCGUGUGUGAUGAAGGCUUUCGGGUCGUAAAGCACUGUUGUAUGGGAAGAACAGCUAGAAUAGGAAAUGAUUUUAGUUUGACGGUACCAUACCAGAAAGGGACGGCUAAAUACGUGCCAGCAGCCGCGGUAAUACGUAUGUCCCGAGCGUUAUCCGGAUUUAUUGGGCGUAAAGCGAGCGCAGACGGUUUAUUAAGUCUGAUGUGAAAGCCCGGAGCUCAACUCCGGAAUGGCAUUGGAAACUGGUUAACUUGAGUGCAGUAGAGGUAAGUGGAACUCCAUGUGUAGCGGUGGAAUGCGUAGAUAUAUGGAAGAACACCAGUGGCGAAGGCGGCUUACUGGACUGCAACUGACGUUGAGGCUCGAAAGUGUGCGUAGCAGACAGGAUUAGAUACCCUGGUAGUCCACACCGUAAACGAUGAACACUAGGUGUUAGGAGGUUUCCGCCUCUUAGUGCCGAAGCUAACGCAUUAAGUGUUCCGCCUGGGGAGUACGACCGCAAGGUUGAUACUCAAAGGAAUUGACGGGGACCCGCACAAGCGGUGGAGCAUGUGGUUUAAUUCGAAGCAACGCGAAGAACCUUACCAGGUCUUGACAUCCUUUGAAGCUCUUAGAGAUAGAAGUGUUCUCUUCGGAGACAAAGUGACAGGUGGUGCAUGGUCGUCGUCAGCUCGUGUCGUGAGAUGUUGGGUUAAGUCCCGCAACGAGCGCAACCCUUAUUGUUAGUUGCCAGCAUUCAGAUGGGCACUCUAGCGAGACUGCCGGUGACAAACCGGAGGAAGGCGGGGACGACGUCAGAUCAUCAUGCCCCUUAUGACCUGGGCUACACACGUGCUACAAUGGCGUAUACAACGAGUUGCCAGCCCGCGAGGGUGAGCUAAUCUCUUAAAGUACGUCUCAGUUCGGAUUGUAGUCUGCAACUCGACUACAUGAAGUCGGAAUCGCUAGUAAUCGCGGAUCAGCACGCCGCGGUGAAUACGUUCCCGGGUCUUGUACACACCGCCCGUCACACCAUGGGAGUUUGUAAUGCCCAAAGCCGGUGGCCUAACCUUUUAGGAAGGAGCCGUCUAAGGCAGGACAGAUGACUGGGGUG